UGAGUAACGCGUAUCCAACCUGCCCAUCACUUGGGGAUAACCUUGCGAAAGUAAGACUAAUACCCAAUGAUAUCUCUAGAAGACAUCUGAAAGAGAUUAAAGAUUUAUCGGUGAUGGAUGGGGAUGCGUCUGAUUAGCUUGUUGGCGGGGUAACGGCCCACCAAGGCGACGAUCAGUAGGGGGUUCUGAGAGGAAGGUCCCCCCACAUUGGAACUGAGACACGGUCCAAACUCCUACGGGAGGCAGCAGUGAGGAAUAUUGGUCAAUGGACGAGAGUCUGAACCAGCCAAGUGGCGUGCAGGAUGACGGCCCUAUGGGUUGUAAACUGCUUUUAUAAGGGAAUAAAGUUAGUCUCGUGAGACUUUUUGCAUGUACCUUAUGAAUAAGGACCGGCUAAUUCCAUG
rnacentral:rRNA from 1 species